rnacentral:rRNA from 1 species
GACGAACGCUGGCGGCGUGCUUAACACAUGCAAGUCGAACGAAGUGGCGAACGGGUGAGUAACGCGUAAUCAACCUGCCCUUCAGUGGGGGACAACAGUUGGAAACGACUGCUAAUACCGCAUACUGAAGGAGGGGCAUGCGUCUGAUUAGCUAGGUGGAGGGUUAACGGCCCACCAAGGCGAGGAACAGUAGCCGGUCUGAGGGGAUGAACGGCCACAUGGGGACUGAGACACGGCCCAAACUCCUACGGGAGGAAGCAGUGGGGAAUUUUCCGGAAUGGACGAAAGUCUGACGGAGCAACGCCGCGUGAGUGAUGACGGCCUUCGGGUUGUAAAGCUCUGUUAAUCGGGACGCGGUACCGGAAUAGAAAGCCACGGCUAACUACGUGCCAGCCGCCGCGGUAAUUC